GACGAACGCUGGCGGCGUGCUUAACACAUGCAAGUCGAACGGUGAAGCGCCUUCCUUUUUGGUGGGUGUGGAUGAGUGGCGAACGGGUGAGUAACACGUGGGUAACCUGCCCCCUUCUUCUGGAUAACCGCAUGAAAGUGUGGCUAAUACGGGAUAUUCUGGGUCUGUCGCAUGAUGGGUCUGGGAAAGAUAUUGUUUCGGUGGGGGAUGGGCUCGCGGCCUAUCAGCUUGUUGGUGGGGUGAUGGCCUACCAAGGCGGUGACGGGUAGCCGGCCUGAGAGGGUGGACGGUCACACUGGGACUGAGACACGGCCCAGACUCCUACGGGAGGCAGCAGUGGGGAAUAUUGCACAAUGGGCGCAAGCCUGAUGCAGCGACGCCGCGUGAGGGAUGGAGGCCUGCGGGUUGUGAACCUCUUUCGCCAGUGAAGCAGGCCUGCCUCGUUUGUGGGUGGGUUGACGGUAGCUGGAUAAGAAGCGCCGGCUAACUACGUG
rnacentral:rRNA from 1 species